rnacentral:rRNA from 1 species
AUGAUGGAUCCGUCUGGAUAUCGUAGUGUAUGCAAGGCAGGCCGACACGCCGCCGCUGUUCGAACUGAAAGCCUGUUUGCAGGAGCAAUCAGGUCUGCUUCGGUCGACGUCGUCGGUUUUCCAGCCGGUCGGAGCACCGGGCAGCAGCACUUUGAUCAUCCGCCCACGUUGGUCCCUCUGACUGUGAAGCAAGUGACCAUGCUUGCUCCUUCUAUCGAGCAGGGGGGCGCUGUCUAUUCACGGGACGCCUGUCAGCACGGUAUGCAUGAUCGCGAUGCAGUCUUGGUCGGUUUCUUAGUUUUCUCAUCGGAGAAACCACACACGGUGUUGCUACAGGCCCGGCUUCUGGGUAGGAUGCUUAACCGUAGGGAUAUGCCUGAGGAGAUAGAGUUCAUCCUCGCCGACGGCACCGGAGCCAUUCAGGCCAGGAUAUGGACCGCCCAGUCGGAGUACAUGCUGGCGUUGCGUUCUGUUAGGUUAUAUGGUUUUGCGAUUUUCCGUAUCUGUACGUUGCUGUUUUAUGUUGGUUGUGAACUGUUCCACUCUCACACCAUAAUAACAAAAAACAGUGAUGGCGACUACAUGAUAGUGAACGGAUCCAUAAAGGCCGAAGGUAGCCUGAAACACAUUCGGGUGUACUCGCUGAGUGUGGUGACAAACUACAAUGCAAUCACUCAUCACUUCCUUCAGUGCAUCUAUGUUCACUUAGAUCUUCGGAAAAAGUUCAAUGACAGGGAAAAUGAUAUUAGACGGAUGGACUUGGCCGUAGCUGCCCACGAGCAAUCAUCUCCUGUUUUGGACAUUAACAACAGGCUCUUCGACGACGUGCUGAGAGUAUUCUACCAUCCAGGGGUCCUUGAGCUGGAGAAUGGCGCUUCUUUCGCUCUCAUACAAUCUCAAACCGGCGCGGAUGCGGAUCAACUAAGGUCUGUUAUUGGAGCUCAUGUUGCCAUGGGCAACCUUUUCACCACCAUCGAUGAUGGUCACUACAAAUGCUCGUUCAACGGGUAG